CCUGGUUGAUCCUGCCAGUAGUCAUAUGCUUGUCUAAAAGAUUAAGCCAUGCAUGUAUAAGCUAAAGCUGAUAAAUAGUGAAGCCGCGGACAGCUCAUUAAUACACUCAUAAUCUUCGCAAUGCAUCCAAUAUGGAUAUCUGUGCUAAUUUUAGAGCUAAUACACGCAAUCAAGCCCCUUAAUUGGGGAGCAUUUAUUAGAACAAAACCGAUCGGGGUCUCCCCGCUGUUGGUGAAUCUGAAUAACUGUGCAGAUCGCAGGUCUUUGUACCGGCGACACAUUGCAAGAGUGAGUGCCUUAUCAACUGUCGAUGGUAGUAUAUAUGCCUACCAUGGUUAUUACGGGUAACGGAGAAUUAGGGUUUGACUCCGGAGAGGCAGCCUGAGAGACGGCUACCAGUUCUAAGGAACGCAGCAGGCGCGCAAAUUACACAAUGACAGUAAACUGUUGAUGUAGUGACAAGAGGUAACGGGGCGGUCCUCUAUGAGGCCCGUCAUUGUAUUGAGUAAAACUCAAAAUAUUUAACGAAACCAAUUGGAGGGCAAGUCUGGUGCCAGCAGCCGCGGUAAUUCCAGCUCCAAAAGCAUAUAUUAAAGUUGUUGCGGUUAAAAAGCUCGUAGUUGGAUCCAUGACCUCGGAGGGCGGUCCCCCACUGGGUGCGUACUGCUGCUCCGAGUCCUAUCUGUCAGUUUGUCUGUGUUGCCUUUAAUCGGGUGGCACAGGUGACUGACGUGUUUACUUUGAAAAAGUUAGAGUGUUUAAAGCAGGCGUUGAAUGCCUGAAUAGUGGUGCAUGGAAUAAUGGAAUAGGAUCUCGGUUCUAUUUUGUUGGUUCAAGAGCAUGAGAAAAUGAUUAAGAGGGACAGACGGGGGCAUUUGUAUUGCUGCGUUAGAGGUGAAAUUCUUGGAUCGUAGCAAGACAAACUACUGCGAAGGCAUUUGCCAAGAAUGUUUUCAUUAAUCAAGAACGAAAGUUAGAGGUUCGAAGGCGAUCAGAUACCGCCCUAGUUCUAACCGUAAACCAUGUCGACUAGCUAUCUGUCAGCGUUAAUAAUGACCUGACAGGCAGCUUACCGGAAACGAAAGUUUCUCGAUUCCGGGGGUAGUAUGGUUGCAAAGCUGAAACUUAAAGGAAUUGACGGAAGGGCACCACCAGGAGUGGAGCCUGCGGCUUAAUUUGACCCAACACGGGAAAACUCACCCGGCCCGGACACCGUAAGGAUUGACAGAUUAAUAGCUCUUUCUCGAUUUGGUGAUUGGUGGUGCAUGGCCGUUCUUAGUUGGUGGAGCGAUUUGUCUGGUUAAUUCCGAUAACGAACGAGAUUCUAACUUACUAACUAGUUCCACGAUCCUUGUGGUCCUAAAUAC
rnacentral:rRNA from 1 species